rnacentral:tRNA from 1 species
ACUUGGCUGGCUCAGUCAGUAGAGCAUGUGACUCUUGAUCUUGGAGCUGUGAGUUUGAGCCCCACAUCAAGUG